AUGUUGAAGACAAAAUCGGUGCCAGUGAAUUAUUUUUCUUUCUCUCAGUGUGGGAGAAUGUCUACAAAGUUUAGUUGGCCGGCAAACACAAGCUCAGUGCCUUUGUUAUGGUUUUACAUAGAACCUGAUGAGUGCUACCCAAGUUUGCAGGAAAUUGUGGUUGUGAGAGUCUCCAUCCGGCUGGCUGAUAUAUUCACCUUCUGCAAGCUGAUAUGAGGACAUAGGAGGGCUUGAAGGGUUUGGCUGUGAAUUCAACACUGCCUUCCUGUGUGCGUUUCCUGUCCUGCCCUAAUAGUAAGUGCAUUAGCUAUACUUUGCAAUGGCUAUAUUGACAGGACGAUGGGACUCGAAGUUCAACAUAUCUGGAACAUGUUAGGUUAGGAAAAACCACCAUUAAGCAAUUUCUAGUAUUCUGUUCUCUGAUCCCAUAAAGGUACCCAGAAGGCUAAAGCUUCCAGGGAACAGAAAAGAAGAAAACCGGGGCAAUGUGCUGUCACCACCCAUGAUAAAUGAAGAUACAUAGGUCAAUGAGUGAAUGUGAUUGCAAAGGCAGAGCUCUUUAGAUAACUCCUUCAGUGCUCAGAUCAUUUUACCUGGUUUCUCAGAAUUGGUUGGGGAUUUCCCUGCAAAACUAUUAUUAAUAACAUUAGCUUGGAUUUUUUUUUUCAACCAAGCUUCUGGGCCUACUUAAUGUUCCACUCUCCGUUCCUGACUUUAAUAAUCUUCUCCCCUUCAAGAGGUUUCUGAAAUAAAAAAUGACACUCUGUCAUGCUCCACACUUGCCGAUAUAUAGGCAGCCCGAGUGAACUAAUUAGGGAAGUCGAGUUCAACAAGCCGCUCCAUUUCUACGGCCGUUACGCAGGAACGUAAGCCCUCGAAUCACAACCCGACACUCUCAGAAUUAAGCAAAAGUCACCUAACAACAUUAUCUGCCCACAAAGAUUGCAAGAACAAGAAAAGCUGACACCCUGAAGACUCUGAUGUGUAACGCUGGCCUUCAAAAUGUGUGACAAUGACUCAUGCUGAGGGACACAACAUAAACUGCAGCAGAAGCACUUUGACAUAAUGUGGGAUUCAUUUCUUCAAGAGCUAUAACCCAUUUCCUGAGUCAGCACUUCCAGCGCCAGUAAUUUACAGCGACAGAAUGAAAUAGCACCAUCGGAACAUGGGAAUGGAAGGAAACUUGAGUCUAAAUUGAAGAAGUACCGAGGGCAGGAGUAAGUAAAGGACUCAAUGCCGCUUGCUUCCAUUUGCAUGAAAUUGUUGCCAUCCCACAGUUCUUAGAGGCAUUAUGUGUCUAUUGCUGUGCCACCUAAAGUCCUGUCUAAAAUGGCCCACAGUUGGCUGCGCAUGAUGAUACUUUGCCUGAACAGGAUCACAUCUAAGAGGUACUUGCCCAUGUUGAGCAAGAAAAGCUUCAGGAAGCUUCUCCCGGCAUUUGCUUGAGUGGAAGGGGAACCUUCCAGAAGGCUGUUUUCUCAAGGAUUCCAGUUGUACAAAAAGGUUCUACUCAGAUACAAAGGAACAUGAGCAGAAAUCUCCUGUAGAUGUUCACUCAAGAAAGAUGGGGACCCAGAGAGUUGGGCUCCUUCUCCUCUUCCUC
ensembl:lncRNA